rnacentral:rRNA from 1 species
UACAGAGGGUGCAAGCGUUAAUCGGAAUUACUGGGCGUAAAGCGUGCGUAGACGGUUAUGUAAGUCAGGUGUGAAAGCCCCGGGCUCAACCUGGGAAUUGCGUUUGAGACUGCAUAGCUAGGGUGCGGAAGAGGGAAGCGGAAUUUCCGGUGUAGCGGUGAAAUGCGUAGAUAUCGGAAGGAACAUCAGUGGCGAAAGCGGCUUCCUGGUCCAGCACCGACGUCAGGCACGAAAGCGUGGGGAGCAAACAGG